GACAGAGGGGGCAAGCGUUGCUCGGAAUCACUGGGCGUAAAGGGCGCGUAGGCGGGAUGGCAAGUCGGUCGUGAAAUCCUUCGGCUCAACCGAAGAACGUCGGCCGAUACUGCUGUUCUUGAGGGAUGCAGAGGAGAUUGGAAUUCCCGGUGUAGCGGUGAAAUGCGCAGAUAUCAGGAGGAACACCGGUGGCGAAGGCGGAUCUCUGGGCCUUACCUGACGCUGAGGCGCGAAAGCUAGGGGAGCGAACAGG
rnacentral:rRNA from 1 species